ensembl:lncRNA
GUGUGUGUGUGUGUGUAAAAUAAAUAAAUAAUAUGCCUGUAAAUCAGGUUUGAGAGUCAGAGCUGAGGAGAAAACUUUGGCUCUCUCUGCUCCUCCAUCAGUGACCCUCCCCCUCCCCCCGCGCACCUGCACUGCAGCUCGCAAACUUUUGCAGGGCAUGUGACGUCAUUCAGUCCACAGUCGGAGUAGCCGUUUAAGUGGAGCUCUGAAGACUGCAAAGCUUUCUGCAGGUGAAGGAAGCCACGGCAGCAAGCCAAACACAGACGAUAAUGUGGCCCUCACAUGCAGCGAUGACGGCUGUUCUGAUAGUGGUGUUGUAGAUGAAAGUCCCACAGCAGCUACUCCGUGUCGCCCAGAGAAAUGAGAAAGGAGGAGGCAGUGAGAUGGAUGAAGGUGGAAGUUCUGAGCAUUUCUCCUAUCAAAAGAGACCGGAGCACACCAGUGAAGAGAGUGCAGAUGUAGAUGAAGAGAGCAAGGACGCAAGACUGGCUCUGAGGAAAAGAGGAAAAACCAAAGUGGCCAAAGCAAAGGAGAAACCCUGUGUGAAGGUCAAGAGGCCGUGGAGUGGAGAAAACAACAGUACAAAGACGGUUAUCAGCUUUUCUGAUUUGUUAUUUUUAACCCAUACAAACAAAUCAAGUACUUAAUGAUCACUUUGUUGGUGGCUAACCAAGCUGAAGCAGCAUCAUGAGAAAUGCCUGAAACGUAAAAAAAAAAAAAAAUCUGCAAAAUCCGGAUUCCUCAAGGAAUGAGAUUGAGUGUCUUCUUUCAGGUAUGGAGGCAACAAAAACACAAUAGAAUAAGAAAACAGAUCAAGAUGAAGACAGGGACCAGGGACUUCUUCCCAGUGAACAUAUUUGGAAGCAAAGUUCUUGCCUUACAAUUUGCUGGUAACAAACACUCAAUAGUACAGAUGAUUUUUUUCCCCACGUUUCUCUGCAUUAAUGAUGUGCAUGUAUACUCCCAAAACAACACAGUAGUAAUAAAUGCAGUCAAAAAUUUAAAUUGUUCUAUGGCCGAGACAAUGGACAUAGUUUUGAUUUCUUCAAGAUAAAUAGAGACCUUAAUUAUUGUUUAGAUUAUUGUUAGAUUGGGUAUUUAACCUUACAUUGUACUUUGAAGGACUUACCUUUAAGGGAAGUAAUAUCCCCAAAACUGACAUAAAAUAACUUGUGUAUGUGUGUAUUGCUGAAGACCCCAAAGGGGAGUAAGUGUCAGGAUGCCUGGGUCGUUGACCCAUGGUUUUGAGUUUAGAAAUGAUAAAUAAUAGUCUUUGGUUUCUUUGUUAGAGUUCUGUCUUUUUGUUUUUUGUCUCUGUGUAAUCCUUAGUUGCUGUCUCCCCUGUCUGCUAUAUCCACUCAGUGUCUGUCUGCCCUGGUCCCAUGUCUCUCUGUUGUAGUGCCUGCCUGUGAGUCUGUCUGUAAGUUCAGUCUGUGUUAUGUUUCCUGUUUUACUUUGAAAGUCCGUGUCUUAUGUUAAUGUAUCUGGUUUUGCUUCCCCUGUUUCGUUAGGCCUGAUUUGCCCCAGCUGUGUUUCCCUCCUGUUACUCAUUCCCUGAUUGCUCCCUCUGUGUAUUUAAGCCCUGUGUUUCUUUGUGUCUGUGUCGCGAUCUACCCUCAUCUUGCUUUGUGUUCUGUCCGUUUGCCAGUGUAAGUUUAUUCUGUAUUCCUUGAUUUGUUACUUUUUGAGUUUAGCAUUAAAGCUGUAUUUGAGUUCACGUUUUGCCUCCGAGUGUCUGCACUUUGGGUCCUCCUACUACCAUCCCUGCCUGCACACAGCCUACACAUGACAGUAAGGUCCCCAAAACUGACAUAAAAUAACUUGUGUAUGUGUGUGUUGCUGAAGACCCCAAAUGGAAGUAAGGUCCCCAAAAGUGGCAUAAAAUAGUUUGUGUAUGUGUGUGUUGCUGAAGACCCCAAAUGGAAGUAAGGUCCCCAAAAGUGGCAUAAAAUAGUUUGUGUAUGUGUGUGUUGCUGAAGACCCCAAAUGGAAGUAAGGUCCCCAAAAGUGACAUAAAAUAGUUUGUGUAUGUGUGUGUUGCUGAAGACCCCAAAUGGAAGUAAGGUCCCCAAAAGUGACAUAAAAUGGUUUGUUUAUCUGUGUAUCGCUGAAGACCCCAAAGUGGACAUUAAACAUUCCCAGUCCCCAAUGGGAAGGUAAAAAUACUGUCUGGACAAAAGUUGCUUAAAAUGAAAAUCUCAAGUGAUUUUUUAUUUCUGUGGUCUUGGAGGAGUAAAACCCAGUUGCCAGCUUGCUUCUAAACCAUACAGAAAGUGGUGUCCCCAAAGGGUGGGAGUUAAGAUAUGCGACCCCAAACGGGACUUAAGCGGGUAUGUGUGUGUGUGUGUGUGUGUGACAGAGAGAGAGAGA